rnacentral:rRNA from 1 species
AGUCAUAUGCUUGUCUCAAAGAUUAAGCCAUGCAUGUCUAAGUAUAAGCAUUUAUACUGUGAAACUGCGAAUGGCUCAUUAAAUCAGUUAUUGUUUAUUUGAUGGUACCUUUACUACUUGGAUAACCGUGGUAAUUCUAGAGCUAAUACAUGCUGAAAACCCCGACUCACGAAGGGGUGUAUUUAUUAGAUUCAAACCAGUGUCCCUCGGGACUUUUUGGUGACUCAUAAUAACUUAACGCAGCGCAUGGCCUUCGUGCCGGCGCGGGAUCAUUCAAAUACCUGCCCUAUCAAGUUUCGAUGUGAGGGUAGUGUCCUCACAUGCUUUUGACGGGUAACGGGGAAUUAGGGUUCGACUCCGGAGAGGGAGCCUGAGAAACGGCUACCACAUCCAAGGAAGGCAGCAGGCGCGCAAAUUACCCAAUCCCGAUACGGGGAGGUAGUGACAAGAAAUACCGAUUCAGGAUCUUAUUGGAUCUUGAGAUUGGAAUGAGUACAAUUCAAACCCAUUAACGAGGAACAACUAGCGGUAAUUCCAGCUCUAGUAGCGUAUAUUAAAAUUGUUGCAGUUAAAACGCUCGUAGUUGAACUUUGGGCUUGGCUGGCUGGUCCGCCUCACCGCGUGCACUGGUCCGGCUGGGCCUUUCCUCUUGGGGAUCCACAUGCCCUUCACUUGGGUGUGUUGGGGAACCAGGACUUUUACUUUGAAAAAAUUAGGGUGUUCAAAGCAGGCAUUUGCUCGAAUACAUUAGCAUGGGAUAAUAGAAUAGGACGUGUGGUCUUAUUUUGUUGGUUUCUAGGACCGCCGUAAUGAUUGAUAGGGAUAGUUGGGGGCAUCGGUAUUCAAUUGUCAGAGGUGAAAUUCUUGGAUUUAUUGAAGACCAACUACUGCGAAAGCAUUUGCCAAAGAUGUUUUCAUUAAUCAGGGAACGAAAGUUAGGGGAUCGAAGAUGAUCAGAUACCGUCGUAGUCUUAACCGUAAACUAUGCCGACUANGGAUCGGGUGGUGUUCCAUUUAUGACCCACUCGGCACCUUA